GGCGCUGUAGCUCAGGGGUAGAGCACGUGCUUAGUGUGCACGAGGUCCUGGGCUCGGUCCCUAGCACCUCCA
rnacentral:tRNA from 1 species